GACGAACGCUGGCGGCGUGCCUAAUACAUGCAAGUCGAACGCAGUGGGGACGGGUGAGUAACACGUGGGUAACCUCCCAUCAGAGGGGAUAACACUUGGAAACAGGUGCUAAACCGAUACUGAUGGAUGGACCAGCGGUGCAUUAGCUAGUUGGUGCGGUAACGGCUCACCAGGGCCACGAUGCAUAGCCGACCUGAGAGGGUGGUCGGCCACCGUGGGACUGCGAAACGGCCCAGGCCCCUUAGGUAGGCAGCGAUAAGGAAACUUCGGCCAUGGACGAAAGUCUGACCGAGCAACGCCUCGUGAGGGAAGAAGGUUUUCGGAUCGGAAACCUCUGUUGUUAGAGAAGCGGUAUCUAACCAGAAAGCCACGGCUAACUACGUGCCAGCAGCCGCGGUAAUUC
rnacentral:rRNA from 1 species